rnacentral:rRNA from 1 species
UACGUAGGGUGCGAGCGUUGUCCGGAAUUAUUGGGCGUAAAGAGCUCGUAGGCGGUUUGUUGCGUCGGCCGUGAAAACCUGCAGCUUAACUGUGGGCCUGCGGCCGAUACGGGCAGACUUGAGUUCGGUAGGGGAGACUGGAAUUCCUGGUGUAGCGGUGAAAUGCGCAGAUAUCAGGAGGAACACCAACGGCGAAGGCAGCUCGCUGGGACGGAACUGACGCUGAGGCGCGAAAGCGUGGGGAGCGAACAGG